UUAAACGGCCGCGGUAUCCUAACCGUGCAAAGGUAGCGUAAUCACUUGUCCUCUAAAUAAGGACUAGUAUGAACGGCUCAAUGAGGAUUAAACUGUCUCUUUUGACCUGUCAGUGAAACUGAUCUACCAGUACAAAAGCUGGUAUACAACCAUAAGACGAGAAGACCCUGUGGAGCUUUAAAUCCGUACCCCAAUACAACACCCUACCAAAAUACACAUGGGCUACGAUUUUCAGUUGGGGCGACUUCGGAGAAAAUACAACCUCCGAGCAUAAAGAUUCUAUCUAAUCAAGACACACAAGUCAAAACAAAUAUUGACCCGGUCUUACCGAUAAACGAACCAAGUUACCCCAGGGAUAACAGCGCAAUCUUCUUCAAGAGUCCCUAUCGACAAGAAGGUUUACGACCUCGAUGUUGGAUCAGGACACCCAAAUGGUNNAGCCGC
rnacentral:rRNA from 1 species